AUUGAACGCUGGCGGCAGGCCUAACACAUGCAAGUCGAACGAGUGGCGGACGGGUGAGUAAUGUCUGGGAAACUGCCUGAUGGAAGGGGAUAACUACUGGAAACGGUAGCUAAUACCGCAUACCAUCAGAUGUGCCCAGAUGGGAUUAGCUUGUUGGUGGGGUAACGGCUUACCAAGGCGACGAUCCCUAGCUGGUCUGAGAGGAUGACCGGCCACACUGGAACUGAGAAACGGCCCAGACUCCUACGGGAGGAAGCAGUGGGGAAUAUUGCACAAUGGGCGAAAGCCUGAUGCAGCCAUGCCGCGUGUAUGAAGAAGGCCUUCGGGUUGUAAAGUAAUUUCAGCGGGGAGGCGUUACCAGCAGAAGAAGAACCGGCUAACUCCGUGCCAGCCGCAGCGGUAAUUC
rnacentral:rRNA from 1 species